rnacentral:lncRNA from 1 species
AGGUCAAAAAAUAAUAAAUAAAGAUGAUAUUGAUUGUGAUGACCAAGAGAUUCAUUUUAAGACACACCAAUCUUCAUCAUCUUAAAAUAAAAAGGAUAAAUAUGAUAGAUUUCCAUUAUCUCAAGCAAAAACAAAGAGUUCAAAAUAUUGGUGGUAAGAAUUGUCAAAAACUUGUGAUAGCUAUGAUGAAGAGUUUUAUGACAAAUUCAUUCAUGAUCAAAUUUAUUAUGGCAGCUGGAAAAGACAAAGGAUCGUUUUAGUCUAACCAAGCUAUACAACUUAAUAAAAGUUUGUGCAUCGACUGCUCACUAAUCAUAAAAAGAGUCGAUUGUCGAUGCAAUAAUUACUGAUUCGUUAAAGCGGGCAACUUCUACUUGUGUUAAAGUACCUUAAAUCCAACAGAUAUCGUCGUUACGAUAUUAAUUUGUUUGUAAAUUGUUUUAGAAAAUAAAUUUAAAAAUAACUUU